UUAAAAUUGCUUUAUGCUUGGGAAAUGAUUUGGUAAAACUGCUGUUCUAAAUUAUUUAUAUUCAUUUUAAGUGUUGUAAAGAUUCCUAAUUCUCUUUGAGUUAACUGAAGUUUCAUUUGUUUUAAUGAAAAAAUAUUUUUCCAGGAAUUAUGUUAGCCAAACAGUGAAUUAUGUAGAAAAUUUAAAGGAAUUGUUUUGAUUUCAAAAGGGUUUAAAUUUUUUAAUCUGAUUUCUCUUUGAUUGUCAAAUGUUAAUGUGUGUGGCAAUAUGUUGUCUAACAUUUUUUGAAUCUUGAAGAUUUCUUCCUUUUUAAGCACAAUAAUGCUGCUUAAAGAUUUUUAAUGUAUUCCUUAAUGAUUUUGUGUGUUGUGUAUUUGUUUAGAAUGAAAUCAUUUGUGCAAAAUAUUAUUUAUUUUUCUUCUUUAUAGGUCCAACCCUUUCAAAUGUUCAAAAACUUUAUGCAUUUAAGAAGAAAACUUCAUUUACUGAUGAUCUGAAACUCUCCAAUUUAUAUACUUGUCCCUAUUGCCAAUACAUUACUGGAAGCCGUUGCAACUUAGAGAAACAUGUCCGGAAACACACAGGAGAGCGUCCAUUUAAAUGCAAAUUUUGUGGUAAAGGUUUUACUCAAAAAGAAAAUAUGAAACGCCAUAUGAUCAGCCACCAUGUACAACCAUAGUCUCUGCUUUUGGUUUUUAUGGAUAUACUAUCUUCAGAAAAUUUUCUAUACUGUGUAAAUUCUUUUAAUGAUCUUAGAAUUAACACACUUAGGGAACAUAUAAAAAGUGAUUAUUGCAUAGUUAGCAAGUGGAUAUCGUUCUCCGUCAAAUGGAAAAGUAUUACAAAAUGACCAGUCAACUACAAAUUUCCCCUCAUAUUUGUACUCUCACAGAUGCCCAUACUGUAAUCGUAUAUCAACCAGCAAGAGUAAUUUAAUGGCCCAUAUACGAACUCACACUGGAGAGCGACCAUUUUUUCUGGAAACAAUGCGUGGAUAUUUAAAAAAGUCUUAUCCAGUGUAAAGUUGCAACAGGCCCAUAAACAAUUCUCUUGUUCUUACUGUGGAUAUAUUGCUAGUCGUAGAGGUAAUCUUGAGAAGCAUAUAAGAAAGCAUACUGGUGAACGCCCUUUUGAAUGCAAAGUCUGUUACAAAGGGUUUACACAGAAAGAAAAUCUAAAGAGGCAUCAAAUUUCUCACAUUAAUUUAUAAUCUAUUCAAAGAAGCACAGAAUAGAAAGUAAAUGAAAAGUGACAUGUUCAAUAAUUAUAAAUGAAUAAUGCUGACUCACCGCAAUUUAUCAAUUAAACAAAAAAAAUUUGGCUUAGUGCCCAAUAACUGUUGAUGAUUUAUUUAAUUAAUA